rnacentral:tRNA from 1 species
GCCUGGGUGGCUCAGUCGGUUAAGUGUCUGACUUCAGCUCAGGUCACGAUCUCAUGGUCCGUGAGUUCGAGCCCCACGUCGGGCU